CUCCUGCCAACUUGGCAGCUCAUCGCUGCUGUUACUAUCAACACCUCCAAGGGAAAAGGGAGAGGAGUCAGCUCUGAUCGCCUGGCGCACUGUGCAGCAAAUUCAUGUCAGAGCCAGCCUUGGAAUGUCUCCCAAGCUCCCAAGGCUCCUGGGAUAACCUUAGGUACCUCACUGGGUUACAGCCGAUGGUGAUGAAGACAUGAAGAUGAUGCCUGUGUUCUCCUUGGGAGCCUUUCUCCCAGAUGUGAAACUGAUCCUAAGACCCCCUGUAAUUUCCUGCUGAAAAUCUCCACCAAGAAACACAGCCACAGCCACAGUUCUUCCUGGUAAGAAGCCCCCAGGGCCAGGCAACAAGAAAAGUGAGCUCGUUCAGCAGGCUGGGAUGUAAAUAAGCCACAAGAGGCUGUGCCAUUCUGGGUUGCACCUGUGAGCAUCACUCAGCUGAAGCCCCAUCAGCGUUUCCAUGACAAACUCGUAUUUCCGGAUGCCUUUCUUCCAGCUUGAAGAGCCUGCCUCGUGUGGGGGAAAAAUGAUGUCAUCAGCUGAAAGUGAGAAGCAAGGAGAACUGCGUGCAGGCCUGAAAAGAAAGGAGGCGUGAUGCAGUCAUCUGCCAGAGGGAGUAGGAGAGGCGACUUGCCUGGGGAAAACAGUGUAGGAUUGCUGGGCAGCAAUAUGGCAGCAAUGUGGUCCUCUGAGGUCAGUGGUGAUGAAUUUAAAGGGAAACCUUUCAGUACAGCUCUGUGUUUUUCUCCAGCCACCUUUAACACCUGGAGUGCAGGCAUUAAAUAGCUAAAAGUCACAUUUGACAAGUGUUGAUUUUGCUAGGCCUAUAGGUUGGGAGAGAGAAGGUCAGAAUGGUUGUCAUUGUUAUCUAUUGCUGUGAAACACAUGACUCCAACACAAUUACUCCCAAACAACAAAUAUUUAUUACCUCAUAGUUUCUGUGGGUCACAGUUUGGAAUUUGGAAGCAGCUCAGGCUGGGCAGUUCUGGCUUGGGGUCUUUCACGAGGCUGCAGUCAAAUGUUACCUCAGGUUACAGUCAUCUAAAAGCUUGUAUAGGGCUGGAGGAUCUGCUUCCAGGGUGGUGCACUCACAUGGCUGGCAAGUCAGUAGUGGUGGUUGGUGGACAACUCAGUUCCUCUACAGGCUGUCAGAGUGUACUUACAGCCUGACAACCAGCUUCUCCCAGAGCUACCAGUCCAAGAGGGAGACCUAAUCAGAAGCUAUCCUUCUUUGACCUAUGCUCAGAAGUGACAUUGCGUUCCUU
rnacentral:lncRNA from 10 species